UUUUUAUCUUAAGCAUGAGGCUCCUGCGCCGCACCCCACUCCUUCCUUCCAAACCCAUUUCCCCCGGUGCGCGACUCACUUUAUUUUUAUUUUUCCUUCCUUUCAGAUCCGAUCCCCGAUGGUGGCGGCGUCGCGGCGGCUCCGAGACCUACAGUCCUCGGCGGUUUGGUUUCGUAGGUUCUCAACAGAUUCAGCAACGACUUUGGGUUUUUUCAAAUGGGCAAAAUCUCAAACAGGUUACCGGCAUUCCCCCGAACUCUACUACUUGAUGGUUGACGUCUUGGGAAAGUGCAAAUCCUUUGAUUCCAUGUCAGAGUUGGUGGAGGAAAUGGCAAGACUUGAAGGGUAUGUGACAUUGGAAACCAUGACCAAGGUAAUGAGGAGGCUUGCUAGGACACGCAAGCAUGAAGAUGCUAUUCAAGCAUUUCGCAGAAUGGAGAAGUUUGGUGUGAAGAAGGAUACUACAACGUUGAAUGUUCUCAUUGAUGCAUUGGUGAAAGGAGAUAGUGUUGAACAUGCCCACAAGGUUGUUUUGGAGUUUAAAGGUUCAAUACCUUUGAGUUCUCGUUCUUUCAAAGUUUUGACGCAUGGAUGGUGCAGAGCAAGGAACUUUGACAAUGUUUUGAUACAUGAAGAGUGAUGGCUGUGUGGCUGACACUCCAAUUUAUAGCAGCAUGAUAUUCAUUCUUGGCAAACCUGGGAGGUUCUGGGUGUUCUUUUGUGGGAUAUGGAGCAACACAAGAGAUUGGCCCAUUUUUAGUGGACACCGAUGGUAGGGGCCAUAAAUUCAAUAACUUUUCAUGGAACAAAGGUACCAACACCAGUGGCGUCUAUAGAUGUCCUAAAUCAUGUCCUAUCACUCCUUUAUGUCGGCAUGCAUCAAAUAUCAAGGUACCAACACCAGUGGCUUGCUCCCGGAGAUUCAGGUCAUAUUUCUAUUUAUUUUUUCCUUAGACAAAUUAAUUGUGCUACCACACGGCUCAAGACUUCUUGGGAUCAAUAAUAUCCUAUCUGCUUCCUGUUGUGAGUAUACUUCAAACUAUGCACAUUUUCUUACUUCUUUUGGUAACAUAUUGCUGGUAGGACUUAGGAGACAAAACAAAAAAGUACCAAAUAGUAUAAUCUUUAGCAAUUUUGUAUGGGAUAUGAUUACUUCCACUGGUCUGUGAUAAACUCUUAUGGUGUUGAAAUUUGUUCAAGCUAGUGUGAUAACAAUUGCUCUGAAUUGUGAGUUUAGCAUUUCUUAAUUAGAAUUCUUGGUUUGAGCUUCUGGAAUAAAUUUCUCUCCUUUCCACUUUUCUUAGCCACGUUGAUUGAAAUCCUCUAGCGGCAGCCUAAUCCAACUGAUCCAUUUUGGUUGUCCAUUGCAUCAUAGAUCCAAUUGUGGUGCUUUGAGAUUCUUUUGUUGAUUAUCUUUGAACUGCUUUUGUGUGAUAAUGUUGCUAUGUGUUGUGUCUCGUCUUCCCAUAAUGAACUUGAUGUGUGGAUUGUAUUUUAACUGAUCUUAUAUGGUAAUUCUGUUAUGCAUCAUGACUCAGCCUUCUUUCUUGAACUUGACAAGUGGACUGUGUGCUGCUUGACUUUUGUUAUCGAGAUGUGUUUAAUUGGUCUUCUUAUUUGGAAAUAACUGCACUUGUUUUCAAAAUGUGGAUUGUGAUUGCUUAACUGAUUUUUAUUUAUUAAAAAUAAAUUGUAAUUAGUAAAUAAUACAGUUCAUAGAAUGAAAAUAUCUUGAAGUUUGGGUUAUGUGUGCCUAUGAAAAGUGAAUAUUAUCAUCAAUGAUUAUCUAAAAAUUUUCUCUUGUUAGGUUCGGCUUGGAUGACACUGUCAAAAUCUUUCAUCGAUUACUGCAUAUGGGGAUGGGACAACCUACCUCGAACCGUACUCAUGUACUAUCCAAAGGUGAAGUCUUUUCUUUUUUAUAUCCAACAAUAUAUUAGAAGUUGCUUUUAAUUAAAUUUGCUUUGCUUAAGUGGUGAUGCAUCUCCAAUCGUUAUACCUUAGUCAAAACCUCUUUAAAUUUUUUUUGAUACUUAAGCUGUUAAGCAUUCUUCCUUGCAGUUGCAACUUUUGAAUGUAAUAGUAAAAUUUCUUCGAAUGUAAUAGUAAAAAAGUUUGAAUGUAUACGUUUUUUUAUUACAAGACAAAUAUUUUGGUAUAGCAAAGAUUUUAUACUCUAUUCAGGAUUGGGAGGAUGUCCUGAUCUGCAUAGAAGUCAGUCAAGUCACAGAUACGGGCAGCAGCAAGAGAUUUGAUUUACAGAUAAGUAUGAGUUUCAUAUAUUACUUUGGACAGUAAAAAAAAAUGUUAUGCCUAAUUAAUAAAAAAACAAUUUACAAGGAUGAGAAAUAAAAAAGCACUAAACUACUUAUUUGUUUGCCAUCUUUUGCCUAUGAUUUCUGCGUAUGCUUCAAAAUGUGCUUCUUUUUUAACUAUUAUUUUUUUGUACUAUUGGUAACAUAUACAGUAAUUUUUUUUAUGGCCUUUUGAAGGAAAUAUAAAUUUUAUUUGAUUUUAGUAAAUUUUAAUUCUAAGUGCUUCUAGAAAAUUAUUAUAAAAAAACUUUAAAUAAUAGUAUGAACUACAUUUUAGUUCAUACUAAUAUGGAAGAAUGAGAGUUAUAGUAUAGAAGAUCAAUAUUAUGGAGGAAUGAAAUCUCUGUCAGAGAAGGUAGAUGCACUUUCCCAGAAUCUUGUGAGGGAAACGUCUGUACUAAAUAAUAAAGAAGACACUUUGAGGAGUGAAGAAGCCAACAAGGCAAAUGUAUGUCAAUGAUGUUCUAGAUUUGUUGUUUGCUCAAUUUUAAGAUUAUGUACCAAAUCCUUAUGCUUCUAAUAUUUUGAAAUAUUUCUAGUUUGUGAAGCUGAUAUUUGGGUUUUGAACCUUUGUGUUUUUAGCUUGUUAAAAAUAUUGAAGAAUUGAAGCAUUCUGGAAAAGAGAAGUCCUCUGCUGUUAAAAAGGCUGAAGAGGGGGCAGCAGAUCUGAAAAAGAAAGUUGAUGAGCUCACAAAGAGUCUAGAGGAGCAUGAUAAAGAAUACCAGGUAAAGGCUUAAGUUGUCUGGCUUUGUGAUGCCUAUCAGUGGGAUUUCUGUUAUGCCUAUUGAGGUGUUUUGGGCAACUUACUUUUUAUCUUUUAGGAAAAGCAGUUGCUAAAUUUGAUUUGUAUUAUGUACAAGUGCAUUUUUCCUGUGGUUUCAUCAAAGAAUUAGAACAAUUAUGGCUACAACUUUGUAUGUUGGAUACAUUAGAGGAUCAUUAAUUCAAAAAAGGAUAUUCAAUUUGCAUGGACUUA